AUUGAACGCUGGCGGCAGGCCUAACACAUGCAAGUCGAGCGGAUGAAGCGAGCUUGCUCCUGGAUUCAGCGGCGGACGGGUGAGUAAUGCCUAUGAAUCUGCCUGGUAGUGGGGGAUAACGUCCUGAAACGGGCGCUAAUACCGCAUACGUCCUGUGGGAGAAAGUGGGUGAUCUUCGGACCUCACGCUAUCAGAUGAGCCUAGGUCGGAUUAGCUAGUUGGUGGGGUAAAGGCCUACCAAGGCGACGAUCCGUAACUGGUCUGAGAGGAUGAUCAGUCACACUGGAACUGAGACACGGUCCAGACUCCGACAGGAGGCAGCAGUGGGGAAUAUUGGACAAUGGGCGAAAGCCUGAUACAGCCAUGCCGCGUGUGUGAAGAAGGUCUUCGGAUUGGAAAGCACUUUAAGUUGGGAGGAAGGGAAGUAAGUUAAUACCUGACUGUUUUGACGGUACCAACAGAAUAAGCUCCGGCUAACUUCGUG
rnacentral:rRNA from 1 species